AUGAGUUUUUCAACACUUUCUAAGCCAGAAGCUGCUUCUUGGACAACAUUUUGUUCGGUUUUGGAAGUGAAGUUGUGGAAUUCAAAAACAACAACUCUAAAGAACAAAAAGCAAGAUUCGAAUAAAGGGAAAACAAAUUUACCGAAUCAGAGCUCCUCCGAAGGGCCUUCAAAUUCUCGGAUCGUAGACGUCGGCCUUGGGGAAGCACAUGUUGUAUAG